CUCACUCAAAGUUUAAGAAUGCUGGAUCCUUGAUCAGCUAAGGCCUCAGACAAAAGGGAAGACAAUUACAUACAGUGCUGUGAGCGCUCAGGACAGGAACUGAUCCCCACCUCCCGCCAGCUCCGGGUCGCAGAGAAAGUCGGGUCUGCUGAAGGUCCAGGGGGCCCUCGAGGGCAGUGUCGCCGCAUAGACUCAGCCAUCUGGGGGCUUCCAUCUUGGUGGCGACCUUGCUGUGCUGCCUCCACCAUCGCAGCGCUGGGGCUCCCGCACCUGCCGUGAAAUGCUUCGGUGACGCGACACAUCAGCAGGGCAGUACCAGGAUGGGAAGGAAAGCCUGGGUCAACUGUGACCACAGAGGCAGGUCUGGGGUGUCCCGGAGGAGGCUGCUGCCCCAUGGCACCUCUGCCACCAUCUGAACCAGCUGCCCUGAGAAUCAUGGCCCAAGCCCUCCAGCUGAGGAUUCGGGCAGCCGCACCUCCCAUCACCUCGAUGACUGACUGGCCCUCCCACUAGGGCUUGUCUUCAUGGGCCCUCUUCCCUGCUGUACCCCCAGGACCUGGAAAAUGCCCCAAGUAGGGGCUCCGGAGCCUGUGAUGACUGUGGGUCCACUCGGAAAAUCAGGAC
rnacentral:lncRNA from 1 species